rnacentral:rRNA from 1 species
GAGCGAUCUUCUUCGGAAGAGAGCGGCGGACGGGUGAGUAACGCGUGGGUAACCUGCCUCAUACACAUGGAUAACAUACCGAAAGGUAUGCUAAUACAAGAUGAUAUAAGAGAUUCGCAUGAAUUUCUUAUCAAAGCUCCGGCGGUAUGAGAUGGACCCGCGUCUGAUUAGCUAGUUGGUAAGGUAACGGCUUACCAAGGCGACGAUCAGUAGCCGACCUGAGAGGGUGAUCGGCCACAUUGGAACUGAGACACGGUCCAAACUCCUACGGGAGGCAGCAGUGGGGAAUAUUGCACAAUGGGCGAAAGUCUGAUGCAGCGACGCCGCGUGGGGGAUGAAGGCUUUCGGGUUGUAAACUCCUUUCAGUACAGAAGAAGCGAAAGUGACGGUAUGUGCAGAAGAAGCACCGGCUAACUACGUGCCAGCAGCCGCGGUAAUACGUAGGGUACGAGCGUUGUCCGGAAUUAUUGGGCGUAAAGAGCUCGUAGGCGGUUUGUUGCGCCUGCUGUGAAAACCUGGGGCUUAACUUCGGGAUUGCAGUGGGUACGGGCAGACUAGAGUGUGGUAGGGGUAAUUGGAAUUCCUGGUGUAGCGGUGGAAUGCGCAGAUAUCAGGAGGAACACCGAUGGCGAAGGCAGGUUACUGGGCCACCACUGACGCUGAGGAGCGAAAGCGUGGGUAGCGAACAGGAUUAGAUACCCUGGUAGUCCACGCCGUAAACGUUGGGCACUAGGUGUGGGGCCUUUCCAUGGGUUCUGCGCCGUAGCUAACGCAU